rnacentral:rRNA from 1 species
UACGUAGGGGGCAAGCGUUGUCCGGAUUUAUUGGGCGUAAAGAGCGUGUAGGCGGCUUUACAGGUCCGUUGUGAAAACUCGAGGCUCAACUUCGAGCUGUCGGUGGAAACUAUCUGGCUAGAGUCCGGAAGAGGAGAAUGGAAUUCCUGGUGUAGCGGUGAAAUGCGCAGAUAUCAGGAAGAACACCCGUGGCGAAGGCGGUUCUCUGGGACGGUACUGACGCUGAGACGCGAAAGCGUGGGGAGCGAACAGG